UCUGUGAAUGGCUCCUUACAUCAGCAGUCAUCUCCAUGAUGGAGUGUGGAUGGCCUCACUUCUGCCAGAGGCCCACUUGGACAUCCUCCAAAACCUAGUGGCUAAUACACGCAAGCCCCAGUCUGCCACAACAUCUCGUGUGGCCAGCAAUCCAUGGCUAGCCUCACCGGCGGUGGAUGGCGCCCAGCUGCUGCGAAGACCAGCGCCUGGGAAGGGCAGCGCGUUGAUGGCUGACUCAGGCUGGUCCCCCCGGGGACGACUGCGCUGGCGGAGUGGUGGCUCUCAGCCACAGCACUGCUUGAUCAUAUGAACUUCUGACCUAUCAGCUUGGACUGUGGUGCAGUGGACCACAGUGGCCUUGACAGGUAACGGAGAAUCAGGGUUUGAUUCCGGAGAGGGAGCCUGAGAGACGGCUGCCACUACCAAGGUGGGCAGCAGGCGCGCAAAUUGCCCAAUGCUGAGACGUGUUGGCGAGGCAGCAACGAACCGUAGCAAUCCCGCCUGUCCUUGUGAUCGGCGGGACUUGGAAUGGAUGCUAUCCAAACCCAGUGAUGAGUAUCAACUGGAGGGCAAGUCUGGUGCCAGCNNNAAUGCGGGCUAUUUGACUCACGCGGGGAACGUUACCAGGUCAGGACACAGCUGGGAUGGACAGACUGAGAGCUCUUUCUUGAUCCUGUGGAUGGUGGUGCAUGGCCGCUCCUGAUUGGUGGAGUGAUUUGUCUGGUUGAUUCCGAUAACNAGUGAGACCUCUGCCUCCCAAUAAGCCCCAGCCUCGCAUCUGUAGGGCGGCCUCAGCGUUGCCCACCAGCGUUGCGGGGGGUCUCCCCCCGCAAUCUGGCCGCGGGUGGCCUCUGGCCGCCUGAGAGCCCUGGGAUCAGCUUCUCUGAGGUGCUGUGUACGCUGCCAAGUGCACGCAUGCUAGAGCCAACAGCAGGUCUGUGAUGCUCCCAGAUGUCCUGGGCCGCACGCGCACUACAUUGACACAGUGACUGUGCUCUCUCUUGCUUNGGCGAGGCCUGUCCAGAAGUGGAUGGGAAACCCUGUGAGCCUGUGCUGUACUGGGGAUAGAUGAUUGCAACUGUCUGCCUUGAACGAGGAAUGCCUAGUAAGCAUGGGUCAUCAGC
rnacentral:rRNA from 1 species